rnacentral:rRNA from 1 species
AAAUUGAAGAGUUUGAUCAUGGCUCAGAUUGAACGCUGGCGGCAGGCCUAACACAUGCAAGUCGAACGGUAACAGGAAGCAGCUUGCUGCUUCGCUGACGAGUGGCGGACGGGUGAGUAAUGUCUGGGAAACUGCCUGAUGGAGGGGGAUAACUACUGGAAACGGUAGCUAAUACCGCAUAAU